GACAGAGGCCCAAGCGUUAGGCGGAAUCACUGGGCUUAAAGCGUGUGUAGGCGGACGCCUAAGUGUCUUGUGAAAUCCCACGGCUCACCCGUGGAACUGCUGGGCAUACUGGGCGUCUUGGGCCAACUAGGGGCAGCCGGAACAAGCGGUGGAGCGGUGAAAUGCGUAGAUAUCGCUUGGAACGCCGAAGGUGAAAACAGGCUGCUGGGGUUGUGCCGACGCUGAGACACGAAAGCCAGGGGAGCAAACGGGG
rnacentral:rRNA from 1 species